rnacentral:rRNA from 1 species
AGAGUUUGAUCAUGGCUCAGAAUGAACGCUGGCGGCGUGCUUAACACAUGCAAGUCGAACGGUAACAGGAACUAGCUUGCUAGUUUGCUGACGAGUGGCGCACGGGUGAGUAAUAUAUAGAUAAUGUGCCUCUUAGUCUGGGAUAGCCAUUGGAAACGAUGAUUAAUACUAGAUACUCCUUCUAACUCUAAUGUUAGUCGGGAAAGUUUUUCGCUAAGAGAUCAGUCUAUAUCCCAUCAGUUAGUUGGUAGGGUAAUGGCCUACCAAGGCAAUGACGGGUAGCGGGUUUGAGAGGAUGAUCCGCCACACUGGUACUGAGACACGGACCAGACUCCUACGGGAGGCAGCAGUGAGGAAUAUUGCACAAUGGGGGAAACCCUGAUGCAGCAACGCCGCGUGGAGGAUGACGCAUUUCGGUGUGUAAACUCCUUUUAUAUGUCAAGAAANUGACG